rnacentral:rRNA from 1 species
CCCUUAGAUGUUCUGGGCCGCACGCGCGCUACACUGACGAAUGCAACGAGCUUAUAACCUUGGCCGAAAGGUCUGGGUAAUCUCCAAAUGUCGUCGUGAUGGGGAUAGAUUAUUGCAAUUAUUAAUCUUCAACGAGGAAUGCCUAGUAAGCGCAAGUCAUCAGCUUGCGUUGAUUACGUCCCUGCCCUUUGUACACACCGCCCGUCGCUCCUACCGAUUGAAUGGUCCGGUGAAGCGUUCGGACCGUGGCCUUUGGACGGUUCGCCGUCUGUUGGCUGCGGGAAGUUCGUUAAACCUUAUCAUUUAGAGGAAGGAGAAGUCGUAACA